UUUGUACUCCCUCCGUCCCAAAAUUCUUGUCUUAAAUUUUUCUAAAUACGGAUGUAUCUAGUUACAUUUUAGUGUUAGAUACAUCCGUAUCUAAACAAAUGUAAGACAAGAUUUUUGGGACGGAGGGAAUACUAC
rnacentral:pre_miRNA from 1 species